ACUUUUUUUUUUUGGGGUGUGGAAACUGGAAAGGCCAAAAAAAAUGUUAGCCGCGACCAGGUUCAGUCUCCCAAACCCGACCCCACCUGAACACAAACCUCCGAUUCCAACAAUAUCUCUCUCCUCCGAACCUCCCUCCAAACCCCAGCCUCGGAAACUAAAGGGAAGCGCGAAGCUAAACCUCUGGUCCAGAGCUCGGUCAAUACGGUCCGGUCGGAAAUUAGAGCGCCCGGCUGAAAUUCCGGCCAAGGCGGCGACUCUGGUUGAGAAACCUCUGGUACGAACCGGCGACGCUGUUUCCGAUUCUGAUAAAGAAGAUGACGGCGAAAUUAGGGAGGGUAAGUCGAUUUAUAUGGUCUCUGACGGAACUGGAUGGACGGCGGAGCAUUCCGUUAGCGCGGCGUUAGGGCAGUUUGACCAUUGCUUAGUUGAUCAUGGUUGUUCAGUUAGUACUCACUUGUUUUCUGGGGUAGAUGACAUUGAGCGACUCAUAGAAAUCGUGAGACAAGCUGCAAAAGAAGAUGCUAUGCUUGUCUAUACUAUUGCUGAACCUUCAAUGGCUGGUGCUGCAAGAAAAGCCUGCCAAUUAUGGGGCGUACCAUGCACGGAUGUCCUUGGCCCAAUAACCGAGGCAAUUGCUUCUCAUCUUGGAGUUUCGCCUUCAGGGCUUCCCCGUGGAGCAGGAGGUAGAAAUUUCUUGAGUGAAGAUUACUUCCAAAGGAUCGAAGCCAUUGAAUUUACUAUAAAACAAGACGAUGGGGCUCUACCUCAGAACUUACGUAAAGCUGAUAUUGUACUCACUGGUGUUUCUCGUACUGGAAAAACUCCUCUGUCGAUUUACCUUGCACAAAAAGGAUACAAAGUAGCAAACGUUCCUAUCGUAAUGGGUGUGGAAUUACCCAAAACUUUGUUUGAGAUAGAUCCGGAUAAAGUUUUUGCUUUGACUAUUGAUCCGGUUGUCUUGCAAUCGAUUAGAAAAUCACGGGCCAAGACUCUAGGCAUAGCUGAACAUGAAAUGCACAACUACUCACAGAUGGGGUAUGUGAAAAAGGAUUUGGAACGUGCGAGUAAAAUUUUUACUCAAAAUCCCAGCUGGCCUGUAAUUGAGGUGACUAGCAAAGCUAUUGAAGAAACUGCAGCAAUUAUCUUAAGGAUAUACCAUGACAGAAAACAGAAGCGAUCAUUGCCCAGUAUUUCAAAGCGCUACUAGAGAUGAUGAAUGCGCGACAGUCUGAAGUUUCUGAUGACGAAUACUCCGUACAUCAGGGUAAGGUUGCGUACACCCGACGAGACAACGGGGUAAUGAUAAUGAUGAUGAUGAUAUGCUUAUUCGGAAGUUUCAAAUGAACAAAUAAGCAAAACAUAUAGCCUUUUAGAUGCGGAGUGUCUUAUAAGGUAUAACCGGUUGUACAUAUUAAAAUUAUCCUUUUAGCCCUAGACCAAAGACGAGGGGAAUCGAAUAAUAGUAAGACAUAAAAAUGUGGCUCCCUGUUUCUCUAUUGUCUCUUCUUUUCUUCCCAAACUACCAUCACUAUGUCUAUCAUUAAUUGACUACCAACUCAAUCAUUGUAACAACUAUCUCUACCAUACGACUAUCCUUGUACCUUUGAUGGGCAACUACCAAACCCACAAGGCCACAAGCAAUCAAUUAACCACCAUUUUCACUUCAAACCCCCUUGUUGUGUGGAUACUUCAUAUCUGAAGUUUACUAUAUGUAACUUGCACUCUGUUUUACGGA